rnacentral:tRNA from 1 species
GGUGGUGUAGUUUAUAUACAAAACUUUGAGUUGCAGCUUCGGAAAAGGGCGUGAAGUGCCCCAUUACCU